AGUCCAGACUCCUACGGGAGGCAGCAGUGGGGAAUAUUGCACAAUGGGCGAAAGCCUGAUGCAGCAACGCCGCGUGAAGGAAGAAGGCCUUCGGGUCGUAAACUUCUGUCCUUGGGGAAGAAGAACUGACGGUACCCAAGGAGGAAGCCCCGGCUAACUACGUGCCAGCAGCCGCGGUAAUACGUAGGGAGCGAGCGUUGUCCGGAUUUACUGGGUGUAAAGGGUGCGCAGGCGGCUCUGCAAGUCAGGCGUGAAAGCUAGGGGCUCAACCCCUAAACUGCGCUUGAAACUGUGGAGCUUGAGUGAAGUAGAGGCAGGCGGAAUUCCCGGUGUAGCGGUGAAAUGCGUAGAGAUCGGGAGGAACACCAGUGGCGAAGGCGGCCUGCUGGGCUUUAACUGACGCUCAGGCACGAAAGCAUGGGUAGCAAACAGGAUUAGAUACCCUUGUA
rnacentral:rRNA from 1 species